AUUAUACUCCCUCCGUCCGGAAAUACUUGUCAUAGGAAUGGAUGUAUCUAGAUGUAUUUUAAUUUUAGGCGCAUCCAUUUUUAUCAAUUUAUGCGACAAGUAAUUCGGACGGAGGGAGUAAUUG
rnacentral:pre_miRNA from 1 species